rnacentral:tmRNA from 1 species
GGGGGUGACCGGCUUUGACGGUCUGUACCUUGAAAGCUGUGCGACGCAGUGCACGCUCGUAUGCCACUACAAUCCAACGAGCAACCAAACUUGCCAAGAAUACUCUUGCAAGCGCGGUGAAGUCGCCUUACUUCGGUAAGGUCGGUGACAUCGCGUUCGCCUACGCGACGGCUCGCGGCUAACGCCCGACUCUUCGCCUAACGCGACAUUUAUUCUCUACCGGCGCUCACAGCGCGAGAUUAAGUGGAAUAUUCUGUGAGAUCGAUGUCUGGUCUCCCGCCCAGUACAUCUAAAUAAGGGAUCGGGUAGGAAUGGUUUCGUCUGCGUUCCUCGCAUCCUGCCUUAAAGAUAACGCUGACUACGCGUCGUAGACCCACUUUCAUAGACGGAUUCGGACCGGGGUCCAAUUCCCCGCACCUCCACUC